UUUUGUUUCCCCUCUUUGAUGUGACUCCAAUCCCGCCCUUCGCUCAUUUCCCUCCUCCCCUUCCAUUACGAUUUCACGCUUCUUCAGUUUUUCAUCUACGAUUCUUCAUUUUCGCAUGGGUUUUUAUUUAAAGUUAGGUUGACAACAUGAAGGAGCGAGGAUGUUGAUGAAGUUUGAGACGAAGAUGUUCGCGAAUAAGGUUUAUUUUUCCAAUUUAGGGUAACAGUUUGUAACCAAUUUAUUCAUUUAUAACCUCCAUUUUGGGUAACAAUUUUAGUUUUAUAGUUCUACCAGUUAAUUGAUGUCAUGUUGAAAUGUAAGAUGGAUAAAUAAUUACUAUUAAUCUUAAAUUACGGCUAUUUAAAAUGGCCUUCACAAAUCAGAGCCUAGCUGAUUAAAAAUGUUAGAUAAUCUUGGUUGUUUUGUUAAAAUCUAAACUGUUAUCUGAACCAAUAGACAAGAAGACAGAGGCUGGAAUCAUUAUUUAAUGCAUAGACAAGUCUCUUAUUGU
rnacentral:lncRNA from 1 species